GUCCACGCCCUAAACGAUGUCGACUAGCCGUUGGAGAUUUCGGUUUCUGGUGGCGCAGCUAACGCGUGAAGUCGACCGCCUGGGGAGUACGGUCGCAAGAUUAAAACUCAAAGGAAUUGACGGGGGCCCGUACAAGCGGUGGAGCAUGUGGUUUAAUUCGAUGCAACGCGAAGAACCUUACCUGGUCUUGACAUAGUAAGAACUUUCCAGAGAUGGAUUGGUGCCUUCGGGAACUUACAUACAGGUGCUGCAUGGCUGUCGU
rnacentral:rRNA from 1 species